rnacentral:rRNA from 1 species
UACAGAGGCCCCAAGCGUUACUGAGAAUCACUGGGUUUAAAGGGUGCGUAGGUGGUCCGUUAAGUUCGUUGUGAAAUCCCUGGGCUCAGCCCAGGAAAUGCUUCGAAUACUGGCGGACUUGAGGCUAGUAGAGGUCACUGGAACUGACGGUGGAGCGGUGAAAUGCGUAGAUAUCGUCAGGAACGCCGGUGGUGAAGACGGGUGACUGGGCUAGUUCUGACACUGAGGCACGAAAGCGUGGGGAGCGAACGGG